GACGAACGCUGGCGGCGUGCUUAACACAUGCAAGUCGAACGAUGAAGCCCAGCUUGCUGGGUGGAUUAGUAGCGAACGGGUGAGUAACACGUGGGCAACCUGCCCCAAACUCUGGGAUAACUCCUCGACAGAGGUGCUAAUACCGGAUACGAACUAGGUAGACAUCUGCACUAGUUGGAAAGUUUUUCGGUUUGGGAUGGGCCCGCGGGCCAUCAGCUUGUUGGUGAGGUAACGGCUCACCAAGGCUAAGCCGGGUAACCGGCCUGAGAGGGCGACCGGGCACACUGGGACUGAGACACGGCCCAGACUCCUACGGGAGGCAGCAGUGGGGAAUAUUGCGCAAUGGGCGAAAGCCUGACGCAGCGACGCCGCGUGGGGGAUGAAGGUCUUCGGAUCGUAAACCUCUUUCAGUAGGGACGAAGCGAAAGUGACGGUACCUAAAGAAGAAGCACCGGCUAACUACGUGCCAGCAGCCGCGGUAA
rnacentral:rRNA from 1 species